rnacentral:misc_RNA from 1 species
GUGAUUAAAUCGAGAGCGUCUUCAUUGACCUCUCACCCUUCACAUCCACAUACACCUGUGAACCGUUUGGCUCUUAUAAAAGACGCAAGUCUGCAAUGAGAGUCAUCAUUUUAUACAUACCCCAGUCUUAUGAAUGUAACAGUUUUAAUAAACAUAAUA